rnacentral:rRNA from 1 species
UAGGGAAUAUUAGAAAUGGACGAAAGUCUGAUCUAGCGACACCGCGUGUGCGAAGAAGGCCUUCGGGUUGUAAAGCACUUUUUGGAAGGAAUAGGAAGGAAGGUACUUCCAGAAUAAGUCUCGGCUAACUACGUGCCAGCAGCCGCGGUAACACGUAGGAGGCGAACGUUAUCCGGAUUUACUGGGCGUAAAGCGCGUGUAGGCGGUUUUGUAAGUAGGGCGUGAAAGCUCCUGGCUCAACUAGGAGAGGCCGUUCUAAACUGCAGAGCUAGAGGAUGGUAGAGGGAGGUGGAAUUCCAGGUGUAGCGGUGGAAUGCGCAGAUAUCUGGAGGUAUACCAGUGGCGAAGGCGGCCUCCUGGACCAUUCCUGACACUCAGACGCGAAAGCUAGGGUAGCAAACGG